rnacentral:rRNA from 1 species
UUAUCAAAGAUUUAUUGCUUUGAGAUGGACCCGCGGCGCAUUAGCUAGUUGGUAAGGUAACGGCUUACCAAGGCAACGAUGCGUAGCCGACCUGAGAGGGUGAUCGGCCACAUUGGAACUGAGACACGGUCCAGACUCCUACGGGAGGCAGCAGUGGGGAAUAUUGCGCAAUGGGGGAAACCCUGACGCAGCAACGCCGCGUGGGUGAUGAAGGUCUUCGGAUUGUAAAGCCCUGUUUUCUAGGACGAUAAUGACGGUACUAGAGGAGGAAGCCACGGCUAACUACGUGCCAGCAGCCGCGGUAAUACGUAGGUGGCGAGCGUUGUCCGGAUUUACUGGGCGUAAAGGGUGCGUAGGCGGAUGUUUAAGUGGGAUGUGAAAUCCCCGGGCUUAACCUGGGGGCUGCAUUCCAAACUGGAUAUCUAGAGUGCAGGAGAGGAAAGCGGAAUUCCUAGUGUAGCGGUGAAAUGCGUAGAGAUUAGGAAGAACACCAGUGGCGAAGGCGGCUUUCUGGACUGUAACUGACGCUGAGGCACGAAAGCGUGGGUAGCAAACAGGAUUAGAUACCCUGGUAGUCCACGCCGUAAACGAUGGAUACUAGGUGUAGGGGGUAUCAACUCCCCCUGUGCCGCAGUUAACACAAUAAGUAUCCCGCCUGGGGAGUACGGUCGCAAGAUUAAAACUCAAAGGAAUUGACGGGGGCCCGCACAAGCAGCGGAGCAUGUGGUUUAAUUCGAAGCAACGCGAAGAACCUUACCUGGACUUGACAUCCCUUGCAUAGCCUAGAGAUAGGUGAAGCCCUUCGGGGCAAGGAGACAGGUGGUGCAUGGUUGUCGUCAGCUCGUGUCGUGAGAUGUUAGGUUAAGUCCUGCAACGAGCGCAACCCUUGUUAUUAGUUGCUACCAUUAAGUUGAGCACUCUAAUGAGACUGCCUGGGUAACCAGGAGGAAGGUGGGGAUGACGUCAAAUCAUCAUGCCCCUUAUGUCCAGGGCUACACACGUGCUACAAUGGUAGGUACAAUAAGACGCAAGACCGUGAGGUGGAGCAAAACUUAUAAAACCUAUCUCAGUUCGGAUUGUAGGCUGCAACUCGCCUACAUGAAGCUGGAGUUGCUAGUAAUCGCGAAUCAGAAUGUCGCGGUGAAUACGUUCCCGGGCCUUGUACACACCGCCCGUCACACCAUGAGAGCUGGUAACACCCGAAGUCCGUGAGGUAACCGUAAGGAACCAGCGGCCGAAGGUGGGAUUAGU